rnacentral:rRNA from 1 species
AUUGAACGCUGGCGGCAGGCCUAACACAUGCAAGUCGGACGGUAGCACAGAGGAGCUUGCUCCUCGGGUGACGAGUGGCGGACGGGUGAGUAAUGUCUGGGGAUCUGCCCGAUAGAGGGGGAUAACCACUGGAAACGGUGGCUAAUACCGCAUAACGUCGCAAGACCAAAGAGGGGGACCUUCGGGCCUCUCACUAUCGGAUGAACCCGGAUGGGAUUAGCUAGUAGGCGGGGUAACGGCCCACCUAGGCGACGAUCCCUAGCUGGUCUGAGGGGAUGACCAGCCACACUGGAACUGAGACACGGUCCAGACUCCUACGGGAGGCAGCAGUGGGGAAUAUUGCACAAUGGGCGCAAGCCUGAUGCAGCCAUGCCGCGUGUAUGAAGAAGGCCUUCGGGUUGUAAAGUACUUUCAGCGGGGAGGAAGGCGAUGUGGUUAAUAACCGCGUCGAUUGACGUUACCCGCAGAAGAAGCACCGGCUAACUCCGUGCCAGCAGCCGCCGUAA